GAUGAACGCUGGCGGCGUGCCUAAUACAUGCAAGUCGAGCGAACAGACGAGGAGCUUGCUCCUCUGACGCUAGCGGCGGACGGGUGAGUAACACGUGGAUAACCUACCUAUAAGACUGGGAUAACUUCGGGAAACCGGAGCUAAUACCGGAUAAUAUAUUGAACCGCAUGGUUCAAUAGUGAAAGACGGUUUUGCUGUCACUUAUAGAUGGAUCCGCGCCGCAUUAGCUAGUUGGUAAGCUAACGGCUUACCAAGGCAACGAUGCGUAGCCGACCUGAGUGGGGGAGCGGCCACACGGUAUCUGAGACACGGUCCAGACACCGACGGGAGGCAGCAGUAGGGAAUCUUACGCGAUGGGCGAAAGCCUGACGGAGCAACGCCGCGUGAAUGAUGAAGGUCUUCGGAUCGUAGAGCUCUGUUAUUAGGGAAAAACAAAUGUGUAAGUAUCUAUGCACGUCUUGACGGUACCUAAUCAGAAAGCCACGGCUAACUACGUG
rnacentral:rRNA from 1 species